AGCAACAAGGGUGAAAUCUGUACUUAAGUUAAAUUUCUUGUUUAAAGCAUCUUUUAGGUAGUUAAACGACUAGGAUUAGAUACCCUAUUAGUCUAUCCUUAAUUAAUCUGGGUAGUAAUAUUAAAACCUAAAGAAUUUGGCGGUUUCUAAACUUACUAGAGGAACCUGUCCCGUAAACGACAAUCCACGAAAAAAUCAACCCAAACUUGUUAUUCAGCUUAUAUACCGUCGUUUAGGGGAUUAAACAAAUAGAUCUCCUUAAGAGCUUAGGCUAAUAAAUCAGAUCAAGGUGUAGCUUAUGUUUGGGUGAGGAUGGGUUACAAUGAAAAUUCAUACGGAACCUUUAUAUUACUGCAAAGGAGAAGGUGGAUUUAGAAGUAAGACCUAACACACUGAAGAAAGCCCUGAGAAAUGUACAC
rnacentral:rRNA from 1 species